GUAUCGUCAGGUCACCAGGCAAGCGGAGGGAACAUAACCGGUUACACAAUGAUAGACAAGAGUUGCUUGUUUGAAUCCUAGACAAGAACAGUGCAGCAAACAGAAGGUCAAACUCUCCCUUGUCUUCAUCGAUGAUCAGACUUUCCCUUCCAGAUGACCCCACUCUUCAAGUAUCUCUCCCUCUGAAAGGCAAGAAGGAAAAGGGUUUCGAAUGCAACAAUAUAAAUAAAAAUCAAAUUUCCAGGUUCUUCAGAAACAACGGACAAAGCCACAGCAGGAGAGCCUCUGAAGUAGAGAACUAAAGGAGGCACCUAGCUCGACUCACAUGUGUGAUUCAGAGAUUCAUCCAUGCCAUUGGAUCGGUGGAUUUCAGGAUUCAAGACCUAUUUACUCACAAUCCAAACGUAGCAGCAGUCCACAAGAAGGCAAUACCCGUACAUUGUCCUGGAGCAGAAGGCCAGCAAAUAUUUGAGCAGCU